UAAGCCAAACAGUGAGUCGGCCAAUACACAUCAGUCAAUUAUGAGUCAAACCGGCUCUGCGGGAUCAGAGUUACAUGUUUUGGAUAAUUUUCCUUUAGAUUCUAUGGUUAUGUGUCACAUGCUUAUCUCACCUACUGUAAUGUCAAUACACUUUGCUGAUCCUCGCACACAACGUGUUUGACUUAAAAACAAAUGACGCAGAACCAAAACAGCAUUUUGAAAUGCCUCUAUGUCUGUUAAAAGCUGCGUAAGAGCAAACGAAAAAUCAAAUGCAGCUUAUUUAAAUCAGAUUGCCAAUAAAAAACUCUUUUCUGGCUUAAUUUGGAUUUUUCCUUUAUGAAUAGAACUGUUUGCCUUUAAAGCAUGUGAUUCAACGCCGUCAUGCGAUUCCGUCAGCAACAGAGCAUAAAAUCCCCACAAAGAGUCGCCGCAUGAAUCUAUUCUGGCCGUUUCGCUCUUUCUCAGGAUUUUUCUGACUGUAAAUAGCACCGUUGACCUGCUGACAUUGAAUAAUGUGCUCAGAACGGACAACUAUGACUAACAACAGAACAAACUAGAUGUUUAAAAAAAUGCCUGAAUGAAAUGAGAGAGUUGUUUGUCUGUGCAAAAGUAUGCUACGGCAUUUGCUAAGGUAUUCGGAGGGUUUUUUAAGUGCAUUGCUAUGGGGUUGCUAGGUAAUUGCUUACUGGUCAAAAGAGCCCAUUCUUGUUUCAGUGACAUUCUGGUCAUAAAUAUGGCCUCAGUUGCGCCUUUAAUGGAUGUUUAGUUUGUUUACCGUCCAGUAGGUGAUAAAGUAAGUCUUAGAAAAGUAAUAGCACACCUCUACUUAACAAGCUGCAUGAUUUGAGGCCUCAAAGUUUAAUAGUAGGGUUUAGUAAGUGGUUUAUUCAAAUAGUUAAUGGUAAAAGCUAAGCAUGCCUUUGCAAGCACUUCUAAUUAAUACAGACCCUCAAAGUAUUUUUUUUUUCUUCUUCAUGAGUGCUAAACACUACUUCAGUUUCAAGUAUAAACCUUCAAAAACAGUUUACAUGAUAUUUUAUUAUGUAAAUAAAUAAAAGGACAUUAAAUACUUCAGUCUCAACAUUUACAGCAAGUUUAAAUGCAGCUAUUAAUAAAAGUUCCAGGAAAUAGAUUUUAUCACAGAGGCUCCACUUCAAGUUCAGUGUUCAGGGUCAGGCUGUACAAAGACAAAUCAUGAGAGAGAGGGACAAAGAGACAUAGAGGGAAAACGGGUCCAGAUGAAGAGGCUCCUGGAGACAGAGGCUCCUGGAGAUGUCUCACUAUCCAGCCAAAACAUGAUAAGAGCUGUCCUCAUGUCCUUCAAGAAGCUUUCCAGCACAAACACAGUCCUAACCCAUCAGAUUUUUCACAGAGACACUUCCUUAGUCCUCUUAGUGUUUAGUUUUUGUUUUAGGUUCUAUGCUAAUUGCAAGACAUUCCUUUCUUUCUCAGAAGCAGAGGGAAUGUGCGCUAACAAUAGCAAUAUUUUUUGGUCAUCAUGUUAAUAUUAAAGGGAUAGUUCACCUAAAAAUUACUCACCCUCAUGUCGUUCCAAAACAAAUAAGACUUUUGUUCAUCUUUGGAACACAAAUUAAGAUCUUUUUCAUGAAAUCUGAGAGCUUUCUGUCCCUCCAUUGACAGCUACGCAACUACCACUUCGACGCUUCAACAAGUUCAUAAAGAGAUCGUAAAAUGAAUCCAUAUGAAUUGAGCGGUUUAGUCCAAAUUUUCUGAAGAGACUUGAUCGCUUUAUAUGAUGAACAUAUUGAAUUUAGGCUUUUAUUCACAUAUAAACAUUCAUCAACUCACACAUUAGUUAUGGUAAACGGAAGCUCAAGCAAGUUUGCUUGACAUGUGCGAGAACCAAUGAGGUUCAUUCUCAUGUGUUACGCAGCACGUUUGAGCUUCCGCAAGAACCAAUGAGGUUCUUUCUCAUUUUUUCAGGAUUUUUUGAUGAAUAGAACAUAAUUUCUUUGUAACAGAAUUUCUUGUAACAUUGUAAAUAUCUUUACUGUUACUUUUGAUCAAUUUAAUGCAUCCUUGCUGAAUAAAAGUAUUUAUUUCCAUCAAAAAUCUUACUGAACCCAAUUAUUUUUCAAGUAAACAACAUUAAUAUGAACUUUACUAACAAGUCAUUUUUAGGGUCAAAUCAGGAAGAAAUAGCCCCUUAGAGAACAAUUUAACAGUUAAAGUGACUCUAUGGUAAUAAUACCUUGAUUACUGAACAAGUACCAUGAUCAUACUAUGGUAUUAUACCAUUUAAACACAAUGGUAUUUGAAUAUGAUACUAAUUUAGAAUCACAACAUUUAUGAAAGAGGUCUCAACAAUGUUUCCAAAUGUGCUCAGAAUCACCAAAGUGAUUUCAGUAUGAUACAAUUAAUGUUUCAGUUAUAAACUCUUACUGUAUGCCAACAAUUGUCUCAUUUGUGCCUAUUUUUAUUUCUCCUGAGGGAUUUCAAGAUAUAGCUUGGGGCCCAUAAACUUCCAUAGAAGGUCUCUUAGCAAGCUGAAGAUCAAUCAGAAAUCCACCCACACUAAAGCCCAGCAGUCAGAAUGUGAGACCACUAGGAAAAAAUGGUGUGUGGGGUGUUGUGGCAGUUCCCUUGUGCAAUUUGAGGUCAGCCGAGAUGACUUUUCUCCUAUAAUGACAGACAAAAAGCUAAACCGUACACAGUCUCUCAUCUUUGAAGGACUGCAGUACUUUUGGUAUGCUUCAAAAGAGCACGGGAUGAUUUCAGAUGUAGUGGGAGACAAAGAAUGUUAUAUCUCUGAUAUAAUGAGCCAUUGACUGGGGUGAUUUAUACUAGACAUGAAUCGGAAAAUCAAAACUGGCAAAAGGAGGGGAAAGAACAGAAGAGCUCCACAGAGAGACUGAGGAAAGAUUGGAGAACCAUGUGCCUGUCUUGUCCUUCCUUCCAGUCCACUGGGAAACCAGCCAGUGGUAGAAAAAAAAAAAAAGAGAGAAAAUGUGGAAAAGUGACCCUUGAUGGAGAUGUUGGAGGCAUUUGCAGCAGAAGAAGAACAUUCUGGAAGGUUGUGGGCUGAUCCCACUGGAGUCCGACCUCUAGCUCUCCUCCCCCACUCAUAAUUCUGAGAGCUUACUGAUGACAGCACAAAAACCGAGCAAACAUCUGACUAAAAAAAGGUCAGCGAGUGAAAGGGCUCUCAAUGUGACACGAUCAAUUCGACAAACAGUCCCUCAGAGAUCGAUAAAACAGUGAUGACAAUGGAGGAGGGGAGGGGUGACCUUUUCACCUUGGGUUUUUAAGCUAAAAACAUAUACAAACACAGAAAUAUAUAGUUUAGCAACAAGAGAAACACAUAUACAAUCCUCUUUGUUUCAAAAAUAACAGCUUCUAAAGUCAGUUUACAGAAUGAUUAAGAAUUCUGCAAACUAUACCUUGCAAAAAGUUAAACAAAAGAACGCACUCACUUAACCUUCUUCUCGGACUAAUUGUGAGUAUUGUGCUGAAAUCAUGCGUGCCUACUUAAUAGCAUGUGAGCAACUAGUUCAGCCAGUAUUAGGCAAUAUUUAACCAUGAGCUGUGGAAAUUCCCAGCGGAACAGACAUGGAAACAUUUGCUAUACUAUACCUGUGAAUUCAACUGGGUUUUCAGAUUUGAAAAAGAACUGUUUAAAUCUCAAAAUGCCAGACAACAUUCAUUCUGAAAAACAGUACGAACUAGAUUUUUACAUUUUGUGUUAAGGUGUUAAUAUUGUGUUAAUAUUCUUAUUCAGCAAUGCUAGGGAGGGCAUAGCUAGAUGAUAGCUGAGUGGUUGCCAGGUUUGCAUAACAAAACCAGCUCAAUAUAUAUUUAAAUCCUGCCCAAUCACUGCUAAAACUUGCCCAAUCGUGUUCUGGAGGGUUUCUUGGGUAAAAAUCGAGUUUUGGGGUCUGGUCGCUUCAACCUUGGAAAGUAGCCCAAUUCCGCGGAAAAAACAAUGAUUUGGCAACACUGAUGGUUGCUUUGGUGUUGUUAGGUGAUUCCUAGGGUGUUCUGAUUGGUUGCCAGGCCGUUGCUAGAAGACUGCUACAGUGUUUUGAUUGGUUGUUAGGGCGUUGCUAGGUGGUUGCUAAGUGGUUACUUACUGGCUUCAGUCAAAAGAGCCUACCCUAACGAGAUAUAUUUUUAAUGAAUAAAAUGUGUGUAAUAUUCUGAACUGCAAUUCUAGGGAAUUGCUAGGUGAUUACUAGGGUGUUCUGAUUGGUUUCUAGGGCAUUGCUAUGCAGUUGCUAGGUGAUUGCUAGAGUGUUUUGAUUGGCUGCUCUGGGCUAAGUUAAAAUCCAUCCUAACUAGAUUUUAUGAAGAAAAUGGUUGCUAGUGCAUUUCAAGAUGGUUGCUGCAGCAUUACUAGUUGGUUGCUAGGAUGUUUUCAGUCAUUUCUAGUAGAGCUGCACGAUUCUGGAUAAAUUGAGAAUCACAAUUUUUUUUUUUUUUUUUUUUUUUUUUAAAUAGAUCACGAUUCUCCCACGAUUUCUAACAUACAACUAAAUUAAUAAAUCUAUUUAAAAAUGAUUUUUUUUUAAAAAUCUGUUUUAAUAAAAGAUUCAAUGACUCGCUCAUAGACUUCACUUGUUUCAUUACUGUCUGAAUCAGCAUUUUUGAACGAAUCUCUUGAAUGACAAAUACAUUUUUAACAGUCACUCGUCGCCACCUACUGGUGUAACGAUGUAAUUGAUACAAUCUUUAUUUGAAACGUCACGUUUCAAAGGGUGAUUAACUCUAUUUUGAUCGCUACUGUAGACAUCAGUGUUUAUAUCUGAACUAUAAACGUUUAUCCCAGCUGUGAUAAUCUAAAUUACUGCAAGAUAGAAAUAAUGAUACUGUGAUGUUAAAAAAGACUUUAUGAAGCCGUUUUUUAUCUAUACAUGACAACUGCUCUCUCUGGCUCAGCAGAUUUGAAUGUUCGCUGUAAUCGUACUUUUCAAAGGUUUAAUAGAAAUAGCUGAAUCGUUGUAACUUAGGAAUAAGAUCACAUGGGUGUUUGAAUCGAGAUUGAUAAUUGUGCAGCUCUAAUUUCUAGGGUGUUCUGAGUGGUUGCUGAUGUCCAAUUGCAUAGUAAUAGCACUCCUCUUCUCAAUAAACCGCAUGAUUUGGUAUCAUUCAUGUGCGCCAUGGGAUGAGUUAAACACAAAGCGGUAAUAAAUAUGAGACAAUAUCAAAACGACACACAAAAACCACAAAGCUGUUAAAUGCUUCAGAGUGGGGGAAAAAAGUUUUGGCUAAAAGGCUUUCAAACCUUGAAUAAAUGUUCUUUUGAAAUCUUUAAAAAGCCUUGACUGUGUUUACACUGUUAUAAGAUCCUGCUGAACAAUAGACGGCAAACAAUAGCCUCAGGAAAACACACUUUCCUGUUCUUCCUAAAAUGGCAACACAGGGUUAAAUCACUGUGGCCACACUUUGCAGAGCCUCAUCCAAUCCUAGAAAAUAUUGCUGAUCAGCACAUUGUGGGGAAUGUAAUGGCCCCUCACUGGGCCCGCUGCCCAUCAGCAGUCACAGUAUGGCGGUAAAAGUGUUUUUACGCUGAGGAUCAAGAUGGAAUGUAGCAUUAGAGAGUGACGGAUCAAAGCCGUCAAGUUAACCAGGUCUGGGUUUACCUAAAAACCGCCGUGACCGCCCUAUUCUGACCUUCGGCCUCUCCCAGGACAACGUGGAUUGAGCUGUGGGCCAAGUUCUGGCGUAUUUUCAAAGCUGCAAGACAGACAUGCAAGCUAAGAUAACUGCAGAAUGAGAUAAGCGUGAGAGCCAAAAAUAAUAUAAAUUUAUUACAGCCUGAAAAAGUUUCCCAGGCCUGAUAGAAGGUAUCGGUUGAACCACAUCCAAACAUUUCAGGGGGAAUUCCUGCAUAUUUAAUGCUCUGACAAUGGAAAAGUCUUGGAAGCAAUGUACAAGACAAUGUAUUAAACUAACUACUAAACAGAGCUACCAAAAUCAAAAACAUUUCUAUUAGAGCUGCACAAUUAAUCGAUUCAAACACCCACACAAUCUAAUUCCUAAAUGACAGCGAUUCUCCUGUGUCUAUUAAACUUUUGACAAAAAUCACACCAGAACAUUCAAAUCUGUGUUCGCGCUGCCGAUGAGCCAGAGAGAGCAGUUAUCAUGUAUAGGUAUGAAAUCACUGUAUGGUUAUUUCUGUUACAAAUAUUCAAAUUAACACAGAAGUACUGGGAUAAAAGUUUAUAGUUCAGAUAUAAACACUGAUGUCUACGGUAGUGAUCAAAAUAGAGCAAAUCACCUUUUGAAAGUAACUUACCGCUUCAAAUAAUUAUUGUAGCAAUUACACUGUUACACCAGUAGGUGGCAACAAGUGACUGUUAAAAAAUGUAUUUGUCAAUGAAUCAUUCAUUCAAGAGAUUCGUUCAAAAACGUUGAUUCAUCCAGUAAUGAAACAAGUAUUUAGGAGCGAGUCAUUGAAUCAUUCAUUCAAACCAAUUCAGUCAAAUGAAUUAAACAUUUUUGAAAAGGGUUCAGCAAAUAACAUUUUGUCAGAACAUCUAGUAAAUUGUUAUUUUGUUUAGUUGUCUGUUCAGAAUCAUGGGAAAAGUGUGAUCUCUAUUUAUUUAAAACAACAAAAGAAAAAGUGAUUCUCUAUUUAUCUACAAUCGUGCAGCUCUAUUUUGGAAGCAACGUACAAGACAAUAUAUUAAACUAACAACUAAACAGAGCUACCAAAAUCAAAAACGUUUCUAAAGAACACUGCCAAUGGCUUCCAAAAGCUCUCAUUCAGGAAUGGUUGUUCUUCUAUCUACUGUCUGGGGAAAACAACAUGGUGAAAACAACUGAUAUGAUUAAUAUAAUGUAACACGAAUGGCCACGAUAAAAAUAGGUCUUUAAUUGACAUCUCUUCCAUGUGUAAAAAUAAACCAGCCUGAACAAUAUCUUCACUGUGCUGAAUUUAAACAGAGGAUGAUGCUUUGGCAACAAGCCCGUAAUGAACGACCCGUUGUGUCUGCUGUUACAUAACCAGAGAGAGUCAUUAAUUUGAUUGGUAAAACAUCCUUUCCAUUAUGUCAUUUGUGGAAUAAAUCUAUUUGACAAGGUGGCAUGAUUCAUUGACAUUUAAAUGCUGAUGUACUGGGAAACUAACAUUUCUAAAUCUCACGGUGAGCUUCGACUUCCCACAUUUCCAAAGUUCAGCCUGCAGGAAAACAGACAGAAAACAGCUCUCGGCUUUCAGCAGAGCAAAAGCGCUGAUAAAACUCAAGGAACGAGACAAACAAGUCCUCGGCAAGCACAUGACCUAUAAAAGGUUUGAAAUAAACACGUUUAAGAACGUUCUCGUAGUUCUAGGUUAAUACUGAUUGAAAGGUAGGUAUUUAUAAAAAAAAGUAUCCUUAUAAAAUGUGAACUUAUUGAGUAAUUUGAACUUAUUAUUCAUUUAAAGAAUCCUGAAAAAUAGGUUCCAGAAACAAAUAUUAAGCAGUAACAACAUUUUUUAACAUUUAUAAUAAUAAGAAAAGUUGCUUGCGCAUCAGCAUAUAGAAUGAUUUCUGAAGGAUCAUGUGACACUAAAGACUAGAGUAAUGAUGAUGAAAAUUCAGGAAUAAAUUACAUUUUAAAUAUAUUAAAAUAGAAAACAGUUAUUUUAAAUUGUAAUAAUAUUACAGUUUUUACUGUAUUUUGCUCAACCUGAUGAGGCUUCUUUCAAAAAAACUGUCAAUUUUACUAACCUUAAACUUUUGUAUAUGUGCUCAAAAAGUGAAAUGCAUUCAUAUAUUUGCUAUUUAAACAUAAGGAUUUUCAAAAUGCUGAAUAUACAUUAAAUCGCUGAAGAGUCAGCACUGCAAGUUAGUUUUACUAGUAUUACACAAGAACAAGUACUCGCCAGCUCUUUAAUGCAAUAAACCUCAUAAGUGAACUUCAAAAAACGGACCUGUAAGCAUGCAAAAAGGACACUUUUCCUGUAGCCUUUCACUGUCCAAACAAGUAAAAUGGAAAAUAAGUCAUGGAUUUAGAGGGGAAAUGGUGUAAUGGAACUACUUUCCACUAGAAAGUAGUUGCAAUUUUAGACACAUGCUUUUCAUUUUACACAUAAAGGACCCAAAAAUUGGAAUUCUGUCAUCACUUAUUCACUACUUGCGCAUGUCUUUCCAAACCUAUGUGACUUUCUUUCAGCUGCGUCACACAAAAAGUGAAUUUUGAGCAACAUCCUGUCCACUCUUUUCAAUGACCACUGAAAUUGCAUGAGGACUGGGGCUCCAAAAUGGCAAAAAAGCAACAUGAAAGUAUCAUACAUGUUCUGUCUACUGAAGCUAUGAUCAUAAAAGUUCAUGAGAGAAGUAGCGAUUUGUGAAUGAAUCGUUCUUUUCAUUUAAUCAGUUCAUCCAGUUUAACAAAACCACUUUGAUGAAACAGAUUUGAAUCUUGAACUCAGUGACUCUGAUGCAGCAGUUUACAGCUCACUGAAGAGAAGAUUAUCAGAGAAUAACAACUUAAAUAUGUGUUUGUUUGUCACACAAAGCUAUGGUAUAGUUUCAGAAGACCAGGAAUCUAGCACACAAGUUAUAAGGACUACUUUUAUGGUGUUUUUGCAUUCUUUCUGAAACUUGAAACCUCCAGCUUCAUUGCAAUUCUCUCUUUGUGUUGAUGAAAGGUCAUAAAGGUUUGAAACAACAUGGAAGGGCGAGUAAAUAAUGACAGAAUUUUGACUUAUGGGUGAAAUAUUCCUUGUAAAGCAUCCGGCUAUAAAAAGCAACAUUGAUUCAUUGAGCUAAAUAGGUCAUUAUUGCAAUGUACACUUUGACAGAUCAAAGCCAUAAGCUGAAUGAACCGGAUUAUACACAUCACAGCUGUUCCGGCACUGUCGUCACAUUUUAGGAAUGCUUAAAAUUCCAAGAUGAAAUCCUUACUUCCGAAGGGGUUGGAUGAAAGAGACCUACCAGGAUUGUUCACUUCAAAGGCUAGACACAAAAACAGAACGAAGCUUGCAUAAAGUACCGACUCCUCUGAGUUGGAGAAAUAUGAGCUUUCUGGUUCAAAACUGGAGACAGCGAGCGGCACAGGAAGGCAGUCAGACUUCGGUGGAGACGAGCCAUGGGGUCUGGAGAAAUCAUCUUACACCGACUGCUCAGACACAUUAACACUGGAAAAAUCCAGCCUCUGUCUGCUCGGAGCCGAAACUGAUACGACGCAGGAACCGAGGAGAACAACCGAAGUGAGAACAUCAGAGUCUCAAACACUCCAUUUCCCAUCCAGCACCUGGAGACAGAUGAGCGAUGAGGAUGGGCAUGGACGGACCACCAGGUGGGCGAUCUGUCUCGGCCCGUGUUUACAUUUCACACACACCUGCGAGUUCACCUCGGGGAAUGAGAUCACUCUCACCCAACAGAGAGAUGCUGACUUCAGCUCUGAAGGGCUGCUGGAUUGUGUACAGAGAUCGGCGAGUGUUUGCUAUGGGAAAAGGCCAAGCUGUCAGAGCGCUGUUUGAGUCUGUCAUCAGACUGGUGCAAAUUUAAAUGGCCAUUAUGUGAAAUUUCAACACAACAUAAAUCAAGCAUCAGGAAAAACUCUGUCUUUGGGCUGUUGAGUAUGUUGGGUGCUUUAAGUAAUAAGGAGAAGAAAGCCUAAGAGUGAAAGCUUGAUAUGAGGCGCUCUCUUUAGCCUCUUCUGCAUUUUUCCAAAAGAAACACUUGGAAUUACCAAUCUUGAACUAAAACACUUAAGCUAAAUAUCACUGU